rnacentral:rRNA from 1 species
UACGGAGGGGUGCAAGCGUUGUUCGGAAUCACUGGGCGUAAAGGGUGCGUAGGUGGAAAGCCAGUCAGAUGUUUAAUUUCGAGGCCUAACUUCGAGUUUGCAUUUGAAACUGCUUUUCUUGAAUAUUCAGAGGUUUGACGGAAUAUCUGGUGUAGCGGUGGAAUGCGUAGAUAUCAGAUAGAACACCGAUGGCGAAGGCAGUCAACUGGGGAUAUAUCGACACUGA